UCAAAAGGAAGGCAAUCUAAAGUUCGCCGCGCCCUGCGGCAACGAUUGCAAUGUCUUUCUGCGACG
rnacentral:sRNA from 1 species